UUCAUUGAAGGUGCAUCCGCCCCUGGCAAGUUCUUUGUAUCACUUUGAAUAAACGACACAAUGUAUGUCGGUACUCAUCCACUAAGUUGCUACUUAACUUUUGGAGAUGGUCUUCUGAUUGUAUUUAAGCUUGCUUUCUAAAUAGGAUGGAAUAUUUAUCUCUUCUUUACUAAUGUGGUUCCAUUCCUUUGAUGCAAUAGAUUUACUAGCUAUAUGGGUAGCACAUACCUCAAGUAAGGUCUCAUAAGUUACUCAUUCAUUUCCUCUCGUUAAGAGAUAUUCACCAUAUAUUCAACUUGAUUGUUUUCCAAUUAGAAGCUCAUUUUACCAUUAUGAGUAGGUGCGUGGGAGAAAGGCUUAGAUCAAAGACUUGUAUUAAUAGCCAUAUAGUUUCUAGUCCCAUUAACUUUUAUCAGAGUAGUUUGCGUUGCAGUCACUUACAAUUUUUUGGAUAUUGUCAGUUGGACUGACCAACAGAGAGAUGCUGCUGCUAAAGAGGGUUGGGGUUACCGAUUGACUUUUUCUGCCCGGCUGGUAAUUGGUUUUAUUUUCCUUGGUGAAUAGAACAAUGUUGCGGUUCUUUAGUGAAGUAAUGUUUUAUGUCACAGGUUGGAUUAGUUCUUAGUGCUGAUGCCUUGUUUAUUGGAGCACAAAAAGUAGGACAAUAUCUUCAGGUGUUAAGGUCUCACUGAGAUCGGCUAUUGGAGCUUGAAGUUACAUGCUGUGCAGCCACAAGGAAACGAUUUUUUCUGAAUUCAGGACAUGUGUAAAGCGACUUCCCUAACAUCCUUUUUCUGAAGCUAGAGAAGUGAGAUGAAAAUCCAUUCUAAGGAGUAUCUCAGGGCCCGGAUUCCUUAAAUGUCUUGUAUUUCAUGGAAACAUUUUUAAAGUGAGGCCAUAUUAUGCAGCGAUUACCUGUUGAUAUUACUUCAAAAGUUGAUGAUUCUAAAUCUGCAUUACUAUAUAGCUAGAUCCGGGGACAACAUCGAAUUAAACCACUAACUUUCAAGUGAGUUUUCUUGCCCCCUAUUUUGCAUGAUGAAUAUUUAUUUGGAUUAUUAAAUUUGAGUUCGCGUAAUUUACAAAUAUGCGGCUUAGUAUGCAAGGUUUGUGAAGUACCCAUGUUCGUACAUGAUUCAUGAAAAGCAAGGAAUUAUAUGCCCUUGGUACUGUGUUCUUUACUUUUUGACUC
rnacentral:lncRNA from 1 species